rnacentral:rRNA from 1 species
GAUGAACGCUAGCUAUAGGCUUAACACAUGCAAGUCGAGGGACCGGCGCACGGGUGAGUAACGCGUAUCCAACCUACCCAUAACUAAGGGAUAACCCAGCGAAAGUUGGACUAAUCCCUUAUGGUUAUGGAUGGGGAUGCGUCUGAUUAGCUUGUUGGCGGGGUAACGGCCCACCAAGGCAACGAUCAGUAGGGGUUCUGAGAGGAAGGUCCCCCAGCUAGGAACUGAGACACGGUCCAAACUCCUAUAGGAGGAAGAAGUGAGGCAUAUUGUUGAAUGGACGUAAGUCUGAACCAGCCAAGUAGCGUGUAGGAAGACCGCCUAUGCGUUGUAAAAUGCUUUUAUAAGGGAAUAGGUACCAAAUGAAUAAGGACCGGCUAAUUCCGUGCCAGCAGCCGCGGUAAUUC